UAGGUUAAUGAGGCGAACCGGGGGAACUGAAACAUCUAAGUACCCCGAGGAAAAGAAAUCAACCGAGAUUCCCCCAGUAGCGGCGAGCGAACGGGGAGGAGCCCAGAGCCUGAAUCAGCAUGUGUGUUAGUGGAAGCGUCUGGAAAGGCGCGCGAUACAGGGUGACAGCCCCGUACACAAAAGCGCAUGUGCUGUGAGCUCGAUGAGUAGGGCGGGACACGUGGUAUCCUGUCUGAAUAUGGGGGGACCAUCCUCCAAGGCUAAAUACUCCUGACUGACCGAUAGUGAACCAGUACCGUGAGGGAAAGGCGAAAAGAACCCCGGCGAGGGGAGUGAAAAAGAACCUGAAACCGU
rnacentral:rRNA from 1 species